rnacentral:rRNA from 1 species
GUCUACCACCAUACCACCCUGAAUGUGCCAGAUCUCAUCUGAUCUUGGAAGCUAAGCAGGGUAGGAUCUGGUUAGUACUUGGAUGGGAGAUACCGGGUGCUGUAGGCU